GCCGAGAGGGGGAAUUGAAGGAAUAGGAGGUGCCAGUUCAGUUUAUUGCUUAGGGCAUGCGAAUGUGCAACACUUACCUGUGCAUGUCUGCCUGCGGAAUUUGCACUGCAUGGGAUGUUGGGACGUUUGCUUUGUGUUGCAAUCGUGGCUGCCGGGUUUGCUCACACAUGUUUUGCCUUCUCUUACAGUGCAAACGUGCUAAAGUAAUUGUUCAUUGAUGACAGGCGUAUUGUGGACCAUUGAACUCCUUCAUCUUGCAAACGAAUGCAAACGUGCUAAAGUAAUUGUUCAUUGAUGACAGGCGUAUUGUGGACCAUUGAACUCCUUCAUCUUGCAAACGAAGUACGUAUCCAUACGUUUAUGUGUUAAAUGUCUGCGGUCAACUGUGGCUACGCUAUGGAGUCAUUUGUUUUCUAAUGAGCUGGCCACUACUUUGAAUCGACACUGAUCACAACAGAAUGUUCAGCGGACAGUACAAAAUGUGAAUGAUUGCUUGUGAAUAAUGUACAGUCAAACUAAUCGCUAGAAUGCUUGCGCGAUUGUCUUGUCCGCAUAGCUUCUUGCGCAGGGCUGUCGUGCAUGAAUCGUGCAUGAGCACUGCAUGAGCUUCAUGUGACUGACGGUGCGUGAUCUGUGCGUGUUUGUUGCAGCUUUUACGUGACAAAUGAAUGGACUACUGCUGCAAUACAUCACUGGGGCAAUCCUAA
rnacentral:lncRNA from 1 species